rnacentral:piRNA from 1 species
UNGGCUUGGAGCUCAGGUCCUCAUGCUUGC